rnacentral:rRNA from 1 species
CUGGAGGUAUCAGAAGUGCGAAUGCUGACAUAAGUAACGAUAAAGCGGGUGAAAAGCCCGCUCGCCGGAAGACCAAGGGUUCCUGUCCAACGUUAAUCGGGGCAGGGUGAGUCGACCCCUAAGGCGAGGCCGAAAGGCGUAGUCGAUGGGAAACAGGUUAAUAUUCCUGUACUUGGUGUUACUGCGAAGGGGGGACGGAGAAGGCUAUGUUGGCCGGGCGACGGUUGUCCCGGUUUAAGCGUGUAGGCUGGUUUUCCAGGCAAAUCCGGAAAAUCAAGGCUGAGGCGUGAUGACGAGGCACUGCGGUGCUGAAGCAACAAAUGCCCUGCUUCCAGGAAAAGCCUCUAAGCAUCAGGUAACAUCAAAUCGUACCCCAAACCGACACAGGUGGUCAGGUAGAGAAUACCAAGGCGCUUGAGAGAACUCGGGUGAAGGAACUAGGCAAAAUGGUGCCGUAACUUCGGGAGAAGGCACGCUGAUAUGUAGGUGAAGUCCCUCGCGGAUGGAGCUGAAAUCAGUCGAAGAUACCAGCUGGCUGCAACUGUUUAUUAAAAACACAGCACUGUGCAAACACGAAAGUGGACGUAUACGGUGUGACGCCUGCCCGGUGCCGGAAGGUUAAUUGAUGGGGUCAGCGCAAGCGAAGCUCUUGAUCGAAGCCCCGGUAAACGGCGGCCGUAACUAUAACGGUCCUAAGGUAGCGAAAUUCCUUGUCGGGUAAGUUCCGACCUGCACGAAUGGCGUAAUGAUGGCCAGGCUGUCUCCACCCGAGACUCAGUGAAAUUGAACUCGCUGUGAAGAUGCAGUGUACCCGCGGCAAGACGGAAAGACCCCGUGAACCUUUACUAUAGCUUGACACUGAACAUUGAGCCUUGAUGUGUAGGAUAGGUGGGAGGCUUUGAAGUGUGGACGCCAGUCUGCAUGGAGCCGACCUUGAAAUACCACCCUUUAAUGUUUGAUGUUCUAACGUUGACCCGUAAUCCGGGUUGCGGACAGUGUCUGGUGGGUAGUUUGACUGGGGCGGUCUCCUCCUAAAGAGUAACGGAGGAGCACGAAGGUUGGCUAAUCCUGGUCGGACAUCAGGAGGUUAGUGCAAUGGCAUAAGCCAGCUUGACUGCGAGCGUGACGGCGCGAGCAGGUGCGAAAGCAGGUCAUAGUGAUCCGGUGGUUCUGAAUGGAAGGGCCAUCGCUCAACGGAUAAAAGGUACUCCGGGGAUAACAGGCUGAUACCGCCCAAGAGUUCAUAUCGACGGCGGUGUUUGGCACCUCGAUGUCGGCUCAUCACAUCCUGGGGCUGAAGUAGGUCCCAAGGGUAUGGCUGUUCGCCAUUUAAAGUGGUACGCGAGCUGGGUUUAGAACGUCGUGAGACAGUUCGGUCCCUAUCUGCCGUGGGCGCUGGAGAACUGAGGGGGGCUGCUCCUAGUACGAGAGGACCGGAGUGGACGCAUCACUGGUGUUCGGGUUGUCAUGCCAAUGGCACUGCCCGGUAGCUAAAUGCGGAAGAGAUAAGUGCUGAAAGCAUCUAAGCACGAAACUUGCC